UGCGUAGGCGGUUCGGAAGUCUUAUGUGAAAUCUUCAGGCUCAACUUGAAGUCUGCAUGAGAAACUGCCGGGCUUGAGUGUGGGAGAGGUGAGUGGAAUUUCCGGUGUAGCGGUGAAAUGCGUAGAUAUCGGAAGGAACACCUGUGGCGAAAGCGGCUCACUGGACCAUAACUGACGCUGAUGCACGAAAGCUAGGGGAGCAAACAGGAUUAGAUACCCUGGUAGUCCUAGCCCUAAACGAUGAUCGCUUGGUGUGACGGGUACCCAAUCCCGCCGUGCCGAAGCUAACGCGUUAAGCGAUCCGCCUGGGGAGUACGGUCGCAAGGCUGAA
rnacentral:rRNA from 1 species